rnacentral:misc_RNA from 1 species
AGCAGCCGCGGUAAUUCCAGCUCCAAUAGCGUAUAUUAAAGUUGUUGUGGUUAAAAAGCUCGUAGUUGAACCUUGGGCCUGGCUGGCCGGUCCGCCUCACCGCGUGUACUGGUCCGGCCGGGCCUUUCCCUCUGUGGAACCCCAUGCCCUUCACUGGGUGUGGCGGGGAAACAGGACUUUUACUUUGAAAAAAUUUAGAGUGCUCCAGGCAGGCCUAUGCUCGAAUACAUUAGCAUGGAAUAAUAGAAUAGGACGUGUGGUUCUAUUUUGUUGGUUUCUAGGACCGCCGUAAUGAUUAAUAGGGACAGUCGGGGGUCAUCAGUAUUCAAUUGUCAGAGGUGAAAUUCUUGGAUUUAUUGAAGACUAACUACUGCGAAAAGCAUUUUGCCAAGGAUGUUUUCAUUAAUCAGGAACGAAAGUUAGGGGAUCGAAGACGAUCAGAUACCGUCGUAGUCUUAACCAUAAACUAUGCCGACUAGGGAUCGGACGAUGUUAUUUAUUGACUCGUUCGGCACCUUAC